CAGUCGCCGCGGUAAUACAGAGGGUGCGAGCGUUAAUCGGAUUUACUGGGCGUAAAGCGUGCGUAGGCGGCUUUUUAAGUCGGAUGUGAAAUCCCUGAGCUUAACUUAGGAAUUGCAUUCGAUACUGGGAAGCUAGAGUAUGGGAGAGGAUGGUAGAAUUCCAGGUGUAGCGGUGAAAUGCGUAGAGAUCUGGAGGAAUACCGAUGGCGAAGGCAGCCAUCUGGCCUAAUACUGACGCUGAGGUACAAAAGCAUGGGGAGCAAACAGGAUUAGAUACCCGCGUAGUCCCUGUCUCUUAUAA
rnacentral:rRNA from 1 species